AGGGAAGAAGCGAAAGUGACGGUACCUGCAGAAGAAGCACCGGCUAACUACGUGCCAGCAGCCGCGGUAAUACGUAGGGUGCAAGCGUUGUCCGGAAUUAUUGGGCGUAAAGAGCUCGUAGGCGGUCUGUCACGUCGGAUGUGAAAACUCGGGGCUCAACCCCGAGCCUGCAUUCGAUACGGGCAGACUUGAGUUCGGUAGGGGAGACUGGAAUUCCUGGUGUAGCGGUGAAAUGCGCAGAUAUCAGGAGGAACACCGGUGGCGAAGGCGGGUCUCUGGGCCGAAACUGACGCUGAGGAGCGAAAGCGUGGGGAGCGAACAGGAUUAGAUACCCUGGUAGUCCACGCCGUAAACGUUGGGCGCUAGGUGUGGGGAACCUUCCACGUUCUCCGUGCCGCAGCUAACGCAUUAAGCGCCCCGCCUGGGGAGUACGGCCGCAAGGCUAAAACUCAAAGGAAUUGACGGGGGCCCGCACAAGCGGCGGAGCAUGUGGCUUAAUUCGAUGCAACGCGAAGAACCUUACCAAGGCUUGACAUAUACCGAAAACUCGUAGAGAUACGGGGUCCGCAAGGGCGGUAUACAGGUGGUGCAUGGUUGUCGUCAGCUCGUGUCGUGAGAUG
rnacentral:rRNA from 1 species